UUUACUUGUUGGAUGCUAGCUAGAUUGCUAUAAUGGACAAGAAAGGAGAAGCAAGUUUUCAGUUUUAGCUUUGAUGAGUUGAAGGAAUUGAUCGAGUCGGUGGAAGACAGGUGAUAGACAAGGGCACUCAGGAAUGUUUGCUCUGCCAACACUCAGCGACUGUAGAUGUCGUCGUUCUCUCCAGCCUCGAGUGAAACAGACACUGCAGCCUUUUAUCAGCCGGACACGGCCCGAGGAGGAAGGUCCUCCUGUGGUUUUCUCCCUCCCAGUGAUUUUCCGUUCCUUCCCUCACCUGUCCAUUUCCCUUAUCACCCCACCUGGUCCUGAUCCCCUCAUUAGUGUGUCUGUGUAUAUAGUAUUUGUUCUCCCUCACGUCUUUGUCACUUCGUUCCGUCUUCAUCUGUCUUCCCCUGUGAUGCCACCCUGCAUUCUCCUCCAGUGUCUCCUCCUACGUCCCCCCAUUGCUUCGUGUAAUUAAAGCACGCUUUUCGGAAGGAGGAACCAGAGGGAGGAGAUUAAAAAACACAUCACAGAUCAUGGAGGUUCCCUGAUCACAUGCUCUGCCAAUUGAGGUACCAGGCGUCCCCAUGUCUACUUGUUUGUUGGUUUGCAGACAGGAUUGCACAAAAAAUACUGAACAGAUUUCCACAAAACUUGGAUGGAGGAUGGGUUUUGGCCUAGAACACAACCCAGGAUCUUUUGUCGUGGAUCUGAAUAAAGGGACUUAUCCAGGAA